rnacentral:rRNA from 1 species
GCUUGUCUCAAAGAUUAAGCCAUGCAUGUCUAAGUAUAAACAAAUCUAUACUGUGAAACUGCGAAUGGCUCAUUAUAUCAGUUAUAGUUUAUUUGAUGGUUCUUGCUACUUGGAUAACCGUAGUAAUUCUAGAGCUAAUACAUGCACAAAAUCCCGACUUACGAAGGGAUGUAUUUAUUAGAUACAAACCAACAUCGUGGUGAUUCAUAAUAACUUUGCGAAUCGUAUGCCUCACGGCGACGAUGAAUCAUUCAAAUUUCUGCCCUAUCAAUUGGCGAUGGUAGGAUAGAGGCCUACCAUGGUGUUAACGGGUGACGGGGGAUUAGGGUUCGAUUCCGGAGAGGCAGCCUGAGAAACGGCUACCACAUCCAAGGAAGGCAGCAGG